rnacentral:rRNA from 1 species
GUCCUAAGGUAGCGAAAUUCCUUGUCGGGUAAGUUCCGACCCGCACGAAAGGAGUAACGACUUGAGCGCUGUCUCGACAGGGGGCUCGGCGAAAUUGAAGUACCCGUGAAGAUACGGGUUACCCACGACAGGACAAAAAGACCCCGUGGAGCUUUACUACACCUUGGCCUUGAGACGAGGCGGUGGAUACGUAGCAUAGGUGGGAGUCAGAGAAGCACCCCUUGCGGGGGGUGUGGAGACAGCCGUGAAAUACCACUUUUCCAUGGUGUUGUGUCUCACACCUGCCCCUGGAUCGGGGAGGUGGACAGGGCCAGGCGGGUAGUUUGACUGGGGCGGUCGCCUCCUAAAGCGUAACGGAGGCGCCCAAAGGUUCCCUCAGGGUGGAUGGACAUCACCCGCAGAGAGUGUAAAGGCAGAAGGGAGCUUGACUGCGAGGCGAACAGGCCGAGCAGGGACGCAAGUCGGGCUUAGUGAUCCCACAUUCCCGCGUGGAAGGAGUGUGGCUCAACGGACAAAAGCUACCCCGGGGAUAACAGGCUUAUCUUGCCCAAGAGUUCACAUCGACGGCAAGGUUUGGCACCUCGAUGUCGGCUCGUCGCAUCCUGGGGCUGGAGUUGGUCCCAAGGGUUGGGCUGUUCGCCCAUCAAAGCGGCACGCGAGCUGGGUUCAGAACGUCGCGAGACAGUUCGGUCUCUCUCCGUCGUGGGCGUAGGAAGAUUGAGGAGCGUCAUCUCCAGUACGAGAGGACCGAGAUGGCUCGACCGCUGGUGUGCCAGUUGGGGUGCCCACCCCACAGCUGGAUAGCUAUGUCGAGAAGGGAUAAGCGCUGACAGCAUCUAAGCGCGAAGCCGCCUCCCAGACGCGUCUUCCCACUGCUGGUGAGGCAGUCAAGAUCCCAGGAAGAAGACCUGGUAGAUAGACCACAGGUGGACGCCUGGUAACAGGUGAAGCCAAGUGGCCCUAAUGAUCGUACGGCUUGUC